UAUUCAGAGGUCUUUUAGGAUGCGCUAAAGGGUCGUGAGGGCUCUCUUAAAAUUUUCUUCACAAGCGGUUAUCCAGUCGUGCCCCGCGGCCCUGCUGCUGGCCCCGGGGAUCUGAGUCGUACCCUCUUGUUUUUCUCUGAGUCAGUCUUAAGGUGAAAUGAAGUGUGGCCCAGUGGCUCCUCACUGUCGCUUCUCUAGUUUUCUGCCUCCUUUUAGAAAAUGUAAGUUGAGAAUUUCUAAUUUACAUCGGGAUGUGUUCUAAUGCGCUUGUUUUUAAAACUGUGGAAAAUUUUUAAAAGAAAAUAAAUCUCACCAGUCAUCCAGCUACCCAGAAGUAACAUUUUCAUGCAUUACCUAUUAAUUUUUUUCUCUGCAUAUUUUUUCAUAGUUGAGAUAAUUUAGGGAAAACCAUUUUGUGUCCUUCAUAUAUGGAUGAAUACAAUAUAAUUUUGGUAUUAAUAUCAUAGCAACAAAGAAGGCAUUGAAGGCUUUAAAUCUGUUUACAGUGAAUUGAAAAGACAGGAUGAAGUGGACACAGCAUGUGAAGACAAUUCUUUCAAGAAGUUUGGCUGUCAAGGAAAACAGAGAAU
rnacentral:misc_RNA from 1 species